rnacentral:lncRNA from 1 species
AUUUGAGAAUUUUCAAAAUGUUUGUAAGACAUUUCAUGAAAUGAAGAAAAUGAAAAGACCUUUAGAUAAAAUUUACAUUUUUUUCUUGCCAGAAAUUUCCUUUUUGUAAGAGUACACAAGUAGUCAUUAAAAACUUGAGGCAAUGAUACAUUAUUGUGAUAAUGACCAAAUAGCCAAAGUUCAAAAUCUAAGUGCCUGAGAUGAUUAAAAAAUUUUAAAUGCCUCAUUUGAAUGGGAUAACAUGAAUUGUCUUUGUCUGGCACACAUGCAGAUCAUAAAAUAACUUCUAAAAAUAAAAAGAAAUGUAAAACUGUAUCCUUUUUGCCAGUUGUGGACAUUGAAAAGCUAGAGUCUAUUCAAAUUGUGCUGUGAAUAGACCAUUCUCCAGUGUAAGCAGAACAAGUUCUUCCCAGGAUUCAAAUAAAAUAUUUUUCAUCUUCACUGUGAAGUGCUUUUUCCUCUGCUUUUCUUUAUAGGAAUAAAAGGCCUUUCUGUUCUUUCAGCUGAGCGACCUCUGCCUUUUAGGGGGAAAUGAAGUUUCUGCUCCACUCACCCAUCACCACCACCCAGAAAUUCAGCAGCUUCUGUGCCUGAGCCAGGUGAACAAUUGGUACAGCUGGGGAUGGGAAGGAAGAAAAGAGAAGUAUGUGAGCACACAUUUGUACUUUUUCCAGCAAAGAAGGCAGGAAGAUUGAUCACCACAAGGAAAAGAUCUUAAAACACCUCUCAGAGGCUCACUGGCAGUUUCAGAGUAACAAGAGUAACAAGUGAUGAUGAUCUUUCUCCACACAAUGACAUCUUUAAGGGCCAGAGAGAAAAUUACAGUCAAAACCAUGUGCAUUCAGGCAAUUUAGACAAUUUUCUGUGUGCAGACAAAAUCCCUGGAUUUCUCCUCAGUGUUUAUCAAGGUAGGCUUCACAAAGUAUUUCAGAAAUCCCUUCCUUCCUUCCUUCCUUCCUUCCUUCCUUCCUUCCUUCCUUCCUUCCUUCCUUCCUUCCUUCCUUCCUUCCUUCCUUCCUUCCUUC